GGUUGAUCCCGCCGGACCCCACUGCUAUCGAGGUGGGACUAAGCCAUGCUAGUCGAACGACCCGGACUAUGGCGGGGAGUGGCAGACUGCUCAGUAACACGUAGCUAACCUACCCUCGGGACGGGGAUAACUCCGGGAAACUGGGGCUAAUACCCGAUAGGUGUGGAUUCCUGGAAUGGUGCCAUGCCUAAAUGUAAGCGCAUCCAUGUUUUGUGUGCACGCCCGAGGAUGGGGCUGCGGCCGAUCAGGCAGUUGGUGAGGUAACGGCUCACCAAACCUUUGACCGGUACGGGCCAUGAGAGUGGUAGCCCGGAGAUGGGCACUGAGACAAGGGCCCAGGCCCUACGGGGCGCAGCAGGCGCGAAACCUCCACAAUUCACGCAAGUGAGAUGGGGUUACCUCGAGUGCCGUCUGAAGAAGGCGGCUUUUCCAUGGUGUAACAAGCCGUGGGAAUAAGGGGGGGGCAAGACUGGUGUCAGCCGCCGCGGUAACACCAGCCCCCCGAGUGGUGGGGAUGAUUAUUUGGCCUAAAGCGUCCGUAGCCGGCUUUGUAAAUCUCUCGUUAAAUCCAGCGUCCUAAGCGUUGGGCUGCGAGAGACACUGCAGAGCUAGAGGGUGGGAGAGGUCAGCGGUAUUCCUGGGGUAGGGGCGAAAUCCAUUGAUCCCAGGAGGACCACCAGUGGCGAAGGCUGCUGUCCAGAACACGCCUGACGGUCAGGGACGAAAGCUGGGGUAGCGAAUCGGAUUAGAUACCCGAGUAGUCCCAGCCGUAAACGAUGCAGGCUAGGUGUUGGGUCGGCCACGCGCCGCCUCAGUGCCACAGGGAAGCCAUUAAGCCUGCCGCCUGGGGAGUACGGCCGCAAGGCUGAAACUUAAAGGAAUUGGCGGGGGAGCACCACCAGGCGUGAAGCCUGCGGUUUAAUUGGAGUCAACGCCGG
rnacentral:rRNA from 1 species